rnacentral:tRNA from 1 species
GUCUGGGUGGCUCAGUUGGUUGAGUGUCUGACUUCGGCUCAGGUCACAAUCUCACAGUUCAGUUCGUGAGUUUGAGUCCCAUACCUGAUG